rnacentral:rRNA from 1 species
CCUACGGGAGGCAGCAGUGAGGAAUAUUGGUCAAUGGCCGUAAGGCUGAACCAGCCAAGUCGCGUGAAGGAUGACUGCCCUAUGGUUUGUAAACUUCUUUUAUAGGGGAAUAAAGGUAUCCACGUGUGGCUUUUUGCAUGUACCCUAUGAAUAAGCAUCGGCUAACUCCGUGCCAGCAGCCGCGGUAAUACGGAGGAUGCGAGCGUUAUCCGGAUUUAUUGGGUUUAAAGGGUGCGUAGGUUGUUUUUUAAGUCAGUGGUGAAAGUUUGUGGCUCAACCAUAAAAUUGCCGUUGAUACUGGAAGACUUGAGUGUAUUUGAGGUAGGCGGAAUGCGUGGUGUAGCGGUGAAAUGUAUAGAUAUCACGCAGAACUCCGAUUGCGAAGGCAGCUUACUAAGCCGUAACUGACACUGAUGCACGAAAGCGUGGGGAUCAAACAGGAUUAGAUACCCGUGUAGUC